GAUGAAGAACGUAGCGAAAUGCGAUAAGUAAUGUGAAUUGCAGAAUUCAGUGAAUCAUAGAAUCUUUGAACGCACCUUGCACCCUUUGGCAUUCCGAAGGGUAUGCUCGUUUGAGUGUCAUUGUACUCUCACACUCUCCGAUCCUAUGGAUUCGGGGAGCGGUGGACUUGGGUGUUGCUGCCUUUCCCUGUGGCUCACCUCAAAUGCGUCAGUGCACCUCUUGGUUGGACAUAGUACGGCGUGAUAAGUGUCUUCGCCGGCACCUCGCAAGAGGGUGGCCGAUCGGGAGCUCUGCGCUUUCAAACCGUCUUCGGACAAUUUCUGACAUCUUGACCUCAAAUCGAGUAGGACUACCCGCUGAACUUAAGCAUAUCAAUAAGCGGAGGA
rnacentral:misc_RNA from 1 species